AGAGUUUGAUCAUGGCUCAGGACUAACGCUGGCGGCAUGCAUCAUACAUGCAAGUCGAACGGGGAUUAUUGUAGCAAUACAGUGGUCCUAGUGGCGGACGGGUGAGUAACACGUAGGUAACCUGCCCCCGUGACCGGAAUAACGUGCCGAAAGGCGCGCUAAUGCCGGAUGUGACCCCGGCCUGGCAUCAGGCAGAGGUAAAAGGACUGGGAGCAAUCCUAGCGCACAGGGAUGGGCCUGCGGGCUAUCAGCUAGUUGGUGGGGUAACGGCCUACCAAGGCUAUGACGGCUAGCCGGCUUGAGAGAGUGAACGGCCACACUGGAACUGAGACACGGUCCAGACUCCUACGGGAGGCAGCAGUAGGGAAUCUUCCGCAAUGGGCGAAAGCCUGACGGAGCAAUGCCGCGUGAACGAUGAAGGCCUUCGGGUCGUAAAGUUCUGUUGUGGGGGAAGAAAUCAUUUUGGGAUAAUACCCCAAGAUGUUUGACGGUACUCCACGAGGAAGCCCCGGCUAAUUACGUGCCAGCAGCCGCGGUAAUACGUAAGGGGCAAGCGUUGUCCGGAAUCACUGGGCGUAAAGCGCACGUAGGCGGUUUAGCAAGUUGGGGGUGUAAGCUCUAGGCUUAACCUAGAAAUUGCCUCCAAAACUACUUCACUUGAGUAUUAGAGGGGAAGCUGGAAUUCACGGUGUAGCGGUGAAAUGCGUAGAUAUCGUGGAGAACACCCGUGGCGAAGGCGGGCUUCUGGCUAAUGACUGACGCUGAGGUGCGAAAGCUAGGGGAGCGAACGGGAUUAGAUACCCCAGUAGUCC
rnacentral:rRNA from 1 species